CAGGGCAGACCAGGUGAGCGCGCAGCCAGAUGAGGCCUCCGCAAGCCGAGAGCGAGGUCUCCGAAGAAAGCGUUACUGCUGCAGCUCUUGGACUUCCAGCCGCCAGAGCAGUGGAAAAAUACAUUCCUGUUGUUGAAGCCGCCCCGUCCGUGGUAUUUGCUCAUGGCAGCUGGAGCUGAGGAAGGCAGUGCUGUGUAAACACCUUCCGAGUGAGCCAGUGCGGAGGCUGUGGACCUGUGCCCGCGAGGUCCGGGGCGGCCUUCCUAAAGUGCUUCUUCUUGCACUUGAAACGCCUUGAGACCACCCGAGGCUCUUGUUAGAAGUGGGAUUUCUGGUUUUCCAGGUCUGGGAUGGUACCUGAGAUGUUGGAUGUCUAAUGAACUCCCAGGGGGAAGCAUCGGGUCUGCAGACCACACUUUGAGCAGCAGGGUUUAGGGGAGCACUGCCUUAGGAGUCCUGGAGUCCCCCGAGGCUUGUCAUUGAAUUGGACCAUCUUUGGGGACUUUAGAAGAAAAUGGGGGAACUUAUUCAAAUUCAGUUCAGCAAUUACUUUGAGCACUUCUUCACGUCAGACUCUGAGCCAGCCUGCGUGCCCCUCCAGAACGCGGAGAAGGGGGGCAAGACAAGGGCCUGCCCACGCCCCAGGCGGUCUUUCAUCAAGGAGAGCCAAUUUUAUUCCACUGCAGGAAAGAAUACCAGAAGCAGUUUGGCUUAACGUGUGACAAACAACAGCAAAAUUAGGGAUGUGAUGGGAACCAACAUCGCUUUGUCUCUCUGGGCUUUGAUGGUGGCACUGAUGUCUCAAAGCCCUCCAGCAGCAGCCAUCAGCACCUAGGAAAGGGAAUGGAAGCUGUCCUUGGAACCAUUAGAGAAAGCCUGGCCCUGCUGACACCUUAAGUUUAAAGUUCUGUCUUCUAGAACUGAGAGAGGGUACAAAUGAGUCAUCUGAUAGAAUGAGACCUGGAGAGAGAUUAAAUAAAUUUUACCAAUUGAUCCUAGGAGGAAUGGUUUCAAAAUAGCAUGUCUUCAGUAUUGUUUCAAUGAGUAAAGCCUACAAAGCAAGCAAAAGAUGACUUCCCAUGACCGCUCUUCUCACUUGAAAUGGACACUGAGAAAGGAAUGAAGCGCAGGUAUAAUCCAAGGCUUGGGUCAUGCCUUGGUGCUUUGGGAUGGCAGCACAGCCAAAGUGCCUUCAGAUAAACAGAGACUGUGUCCGAAAAGCCUCUGUGGCCAUUUGCAGUCAGGCACAGUCAGGAACCAAGGAGAUAUUCAGUUGUAACUGGUGCUUCUGCAGCAGAAUUUUCAAACCCUGGGAAUUUUCGGAAUCCUGUACACCAUUCCUCGCUGAAAGAAACAUCCGGCACUUUGCCCUCCUCACAGAACACAUUGGAGCACUGUAAGGAGUUCCCUUGCUGGACAAGAUGGGACAUUACCACUAACUUGGUCAUCCCGGUAGCAAAUGGAGCGAAAGGAGAAGCCCAUCAUGGUCUGUUAGCCAAGCUUUCUCUGAGGGGACUUCUGCAGCUAAAGCAAGAGGUCAGCUAAUGGAAGCAGUCCCCCUUCCUCAUGUUGUACAACAUGACCCAGGAGAGGCUGCAGCUGACAAAAGACCAAGAACAAGAGGAUCUAAGAGCUGCUGUGGCCAAAGCCGUCGAGAAAGUCUGCUCAGUGCAAUGCCCUGCUCUCACUUCCCGCCAGUAUUCCAUUACGGAGGAAACACAGUAUUAAGUUUCUUGAGAGUCACUGGUGGCCAAAGCCUUUCCUGACAGCUCAGGGUGCAAGACGGGACCCAGCCCUGGACAGGAUGCCAUCCCAUUGCAGGGCCACUCACUUUACACGAACCAUUUAGACACAGUGAUUACUGUCAUGGAACAUCUCUGAGAUGUGGGAGGAACCCAGAGCACCCAAAGAAAAUGCACGCAGAUAUGGGAAGACAUGCCACCUUCACACAGUCAAUGGCCCUGGCUGGGAACUGAUGUUUUUGUUUUUCUCAUCAACAUUAUUACAAAACAACAUUGAGAUAAAUGACAUUAUUGCAGACCUGCUGUAUAAUAUAAUGUCACCUAUAACACAAGGAAAGAAAACCAAGUCACCUUAAGUGGGUAGAUAGUGAUGAGGUGAGGGAUGCUAUUUGAGGUUUUGUGGUCAGGGAAGGACUCUUUUUGCAAUGACACUUAAGACUUGAAUGUAGUGAAGAAACGAUCUGUGUAAAUAUUUACAGAUGAGCAUUUUUGGGCAGAGGGCCAGUGAUUACAGAUGACCUGGGUCAAGGGCAUGCCUGAUCUGCUUAAGGAAGGUUCUGGGGGCUCAUAUGGCAUGAGAGAGGAAUGACAGGAGAUGAAGUCUAAGAGGAUGGCAAAGUCUAGAUCUCAUAGGACCUUGCAGAUCACAUCUAGGGAUCAGAAUUUCUUAUGAUGGAAAGCCACUGGGGAAUACCGAACAGGGCAAGGACUAAUUUGAUGUUUUUAAAGGAUCAUUCUGGCUGUUGCUUGAUGAACCAAAGAGCCAGAACAGAAGUAGAGAGGUCCAUGAGGUGGUUGCAUAGUCUAGAACAUAGCUAAGGGCGGCUGGGAGGAGGGCGAUGUGGUGAGUGUGGUGAGCACCAUCAGAUUCGGGAAUGCACUGUGGAAGUAGAGCCAGCAGGGUUUGCUGAUAGCUUGAAGGAUUAGGGAUACAAACAGGAGAAAAUCAAUGAUGAUUUCAGGGUUUUUGGCUUCAAAUAUGAUUUCUCAUAAAGAAGGAGAGAGCCAUCAGCUAUGUUAAAUGCUACUGAGAGAUUAAAUUGAAGACUCAGAAUUAACCACUGGAUUUAGUAACAUAGAGAUUAUUCAUGAUCUCCACAGGUGACUUUAGGAAGCUGACUGAAAGCAUGGUUGGGAUGGUUUCAAGAGAGAAUGAGGUUGUCUCUUUGGGAGAUGGCUUGAUUAGAUAGAUACAGGAGAAACUCAUCGGGGAAAGUGAAGUCCUUGGUAAUCUUUCAGUUCUUAGUUUGGGUGACAGGGUCAUGUGAAUUCAUUGGAUUAGUAUAUGUUACAUCUUACAUAUAUAAUUCACAUACAGUUGACCCUUGGACAACAUGGGUGUACUUACAUGCAAAUUUUCUUCUGCCUCUACCACCCUGAGACAGUAAGACCCAACCUCCUUUUCCUCCUCCUCCUCAGCCUACUCAACAUGAAGAUAAGGAUGAAGACCUUUAUGAUGAUCCACGUCUGCUUCACGAAUAGUCAAUCUAUUUUCUGUUCCUUAUGGUUUUCUUAAUAACAUUUUCUUUUCUCUAGUUUACUUUAUCAUAAAAAUACAGUAUUUAAUACGUACGAUGUACCACAUACAUGUUAAUCCACCACUGUUUACGAUAUCGGCAAGGGUCCAGUCAACAGUAAGCUAUUAGCAAUUCAGUUUUUAGGGAAUUAAAAAUUAAAUGUAGAUUUUUGACUGCAUGAGGUGUUGGUGUCCCUAGUUCUUACAUUGUUCAAGGGUCAAUUGUAUUCCUUUCUACAAAUCAAAUAUUGCAUGUAAAGAUAUUUUAAAUGUAAUAGAGAAAAAUAAUGGAAAGAGGAAUUGGAGACAGAGAACAUAUAUCAUUUUGUCAAGAAGAUUCACUGCUAAGAGAGCGGCAGCUGGAGGUGAUGUAAGGGAUGUGGUGUCACUCCCGCAUAGCACCCUCAAGUUUGUAUGUGUGGAUACUGAUGGAAAUGAUCUUUCAGCAGAGAGGGAAAGAGUAAUGAUGGAACAGAGAGACGGAUCAUUUCAAGAGGGGAGCUCUUGGUUAUCAAGAGGGAAUGGGAUGGAGAAUCCAGUCACAAGAAGUAGGUUGACCCCAGAUAGGGGCAGGGCAGUUUCCUAAGAUAAAAGGCAGACUACAGAAACACUGCUGCAUGAAGGUGAGUAGAUUUGUGGUGGCAGGUUGUGGAAUUUAUUUUCCAAACACUUUUGUCUUCUCAGUGAAGUAUGCAACAAGGUCAGCAUCAAAAGCAAGGGUAGGAGAGGAAGAAUUGGAGUUUGAGAAAGAGAAGGUGUGAAUUAGGGAGUGGGAGAGAGGACACAGGAAUCAUGCAGGUGUCUUAGGUUGUGCUGACAGCCCACCUGUGGCUUGUGGUAAUGAAUUUAGGGAGACCAUCAGCAUGGUGGUGUUGUCUCUAGCCCUGAGCAGCUGUUUGGGGGUAGACUAGGACUAGGUAGAGCUGAAUUUAACCAGGACUAGGGUUUUGCCAGGCUAGUAUUUGGAAGGGAGAGGGGUAAGUUCAUUGAGAAUAAAUGCAACAGAAGGAUUCUAGUGGUAGAUAAAGGAAUCUAAGCUUUUUAAGGAGAGAAUGAGGUCAUAAGCAGGGUGGGGAUGAUGGGCAGUGUCAUGGCAGCAGGGUCAAGGGGUUAUCAGUCCUAGUGGGGUUGCAGAAGCGUUUCCAGGGAAGUGCUAGAGGAAAUACAAUGAAAAAGUGGCAGUGGUGAUUAGAUAGUAGAACGCUUGAAGCUGAGAUUCUAGAAGCAAUGUAGUUACUAAUGACGACAAAGUGCAGGGUAUGACAUGGGAGUCUGUGGCAAAAGCAGGUUGGAGGCCAGGAUCGUUAGAGAUGAAUUUAGGGGCCAGAGUAUUGGAGACAGAAUGAAUACUGAGAUCAUCACAUGAUGUGACAGAAGUAGUGGGAGAGGUAAGGGCCAUGCCCAGUGCUAAAGUCUUCAGUGACUGAGGAGGAAUUUGUGUGGUUGUAAGAGUGGGGAGCAGCAGAUGCUACCAUUCUUUAAAGUGCUGGAGGUUGCUGGGAAGAAAGAGAAAUCACUGCCUGGAAGAGGCAGUGAGAAAGAAGGAGGACUCUUGCCCAACCUCUGCUUUCCUAUUUUUUAAUUUAAUUUUUCAAGACAGAGUCUUACUCCGUCACCCAGGCUGAAGUGCACUGGCACAAUCUCUGCCCACUGCAGCCUCUGCUUCCUUGGUUAUAGCAAUUCUCCUCUCUCAGCCUCCUGAGGAGCAGGGAUUACAGGCAUGUGCCACCAUGCCCGGCUAAUUUUUGUAUUUUUAAUAAAGAUGGGGUUUUGUCAUGUUGGCCAGGCUGGUCUUGAACUCAUGGCCUCAAGUGAUCUUCCCGCUUUGGCCUCCCAAUGUGUAGGGAUUACAGGUGUGAGCCACCAUGCCUGGCCCCAACCUCUGCUUUCCUUUAGUGUUCCUUGUAUAUUUUCCUUUUCGUUUCUCUGCUUGAGUGCCUACUUUCACAUUUUGCUAUUAUGCUUUGAGAUACAUUUUUUUUUUGAAACUCAACUUCUGCCCUUGGAGAAGUGACUAAAUGAGUCGUGUAUGAGUAAAAGUGUUAUCCCGUUGCUAAUUCUCCACCUGUGACCCAGGAAGUGGCAUUCUGCUGCUGGGGAAGACUUCUCAGUGGAGCUGGAAGUGAAGAUAUCUGAGAAGUUGUUUCUCUCCUCACCCUUGGGAUAGCAGAUUGGGCCAGAUGCAACAGAGGCUUCAAUGCCAAGAUAAAGACUCACCUUUAUGUAAGGAAGUUCCUUAAGGUCUUUUCAAGCAAGAUCGCAAAAAAGGUUUCAGAGGGUUAACCAGCAGACUGGAGUGGGGCAAGAAUGAAGGCAGGAAAGCCAUGUGAGAGGCUCUGGCAAUAGUUAGAGAGCUUGAACCCAAGAAUAGAGGUGUACAAGGAAGGAAGGGACAAAUGUAAGCGGUGUUUCGCUAAAAGCACCAACAUGAUCCCAUCAUUGCAUGUGGUGGGGAGGGGAGCAGAGGAAUGAAAGAUGGCGCCCUGGUGUUAGGCUUGGAAAUGGGAGAAUAUUGACACCACUAUAAGAAAGAGGGAGAUGAACAGGAAGGCUAAA